rnacentral:rRNA from 1 species
UACGUAGGGUGCAAGCGUUGUCCGGAAUUAUUGGGCGUAAAGAGCUUGUAGGCGGUUUGUCGCGUCUGCUGUGAAAUUUCGGGGCUCAACCCCGAACUUGCAGUGGGUACGGGCAGACUAGAGUGUGGUAGGGGAGACUGGAAUUCCUGGUGUAGCGGUGAAAUGCGCAGAUAUCAGGAGGAACACCGAUGGCGAAGGCAGCUCGCUGGGACGUUACUGACACUGAGGCGCGAAAGCGUGGGGAGCGAACAGG